rnacentral:rRNA from 1 species
UACGUAGGGGGCAAGCGUUGUCCGGAUUUAUUGGGCGUAAAGAGCUCGUAGGCGGCUUGUCGCGUCGUCCGUGAAAACUUGGGGCUCAACCCCAAGCUUGCGGUCGAGUACGGGCUGGCUUGAGUGCGGUGAGGGAGGACUGGAAUUCCUGGUGUAGCGGUGAAAUGCGUAGAUAUCUGGAGGAACACCGAUGGCGAAGGCAGCCCCCUGGGCUAGUACUGACGCUCAUGCACGAAAGCGUGGGGGAGCAAACAGG